AACGAACGCUGGCGGCAUGCCUAACACAUGCAAGUCGAACGAAUGGUUUCGGCCAUUAGUGGCGCACGGGUGAGUAACGCGUGGGAAUCUGCCCAGCAGUGGGGGAUAACCUCUGGAAACGGAGGCUAAUACCGCAUACGCCCCUCGGGGAAAGGCUUGCUGCUGCUGGAGGAGCCCGCGUCGGAUUAGGUAGUUGGUGGGGUAACGGCCUACCAAGCCUGUGAUCCGUAGCUGGUCUGAGAGGAUGAUCAGCCACACUGGGACUGAGACACGGCCCAGACUCCUACGGGAGGCAGCAGUGGGGAAUAUUGGACAAUGGGCGCAAGCCUGAUCCAGCAAUGCCGCGUGAGUGAUGAAGGCCUGGUUGUAAAGCUCUUUCGCCCACGACGAUGAUGACGGUAGUGGGAGAAGAAG
rnacentral:rRNA from 1 species